UCACUUCAGCAGUAUAUAUAGUAAACUGGAAUGCUAUAGAGGAGAUCAGCAUGGCCCUGAGGAAGCAUGAAAUGCAAAUUUGUGAAGUGUUCCAUAUUUUA
rnacentral:snRNA from 1 species